rnacentral:tRNA from 1 species
GCCUUCGUGGUGUAGUGGUGAGCACGCUGGGCGCGUAUUCCAGAAGUCCGCGGUUCAAGUCCCGGUGAAGGCA